UACGGAGGGUGCAAGCGUUGUCCGGAAUCACUGGGCGUAAAGGGCGCGUAGGCGGCCUGGUAAGUAGGGGUUGAAAUCCUGCGGCUUAACCGCAGGGCUGCCUUCUAAACUGUCAGGCUUGAGCACGGUAGAGGCAGAUGGAAUUCCCGGUGUAGCGGUGGAAUGCGUAGAGAUCGGGAAGAACAUCAGUGGCGAAGGCGGUCUGCUGGGCCGUUGCUGACGCUGAGGCGCGACAGCGUGGGGAGCAAACAGG
rnacentral:rRNA from 1 species